GGUUGCUCUGGUUUGAAGAACAGAGGGAUGUUAGCCUUCCAUGGGGAGGCUUCACAGGCUGAGUUCCUCAGAGGCCAGUGAGCAUUUGGAUGAACAUUUUGUCAGACCUGCCCAAGGAGAAAAAGAAAAUUCUGGCUCAGAUAAAGGGUAAGACCAGAGCAAGGUCCAGGAACUGCGACACCUCAUUCGGAGCAGAAGAGAGGAGAAUAGAUCCCGACAUGCAUCUGCUUAGUGCAGAACUGCCAACGUCCAUGUCUCUCAGUGAAGGUGGUGGUUUCAUCACCAGCAGCAGCAGCUAGUCUUUGCUCCUCCAAAUGGCUCAUGCCAGCCCUGCCUCUGUCCACACAUACCGUAUCUUAGCUCAAUGUAUUCUGUGUUAGUGCUGUUUUCCUAUGCUUUUGUUUGCCUGUAGACUCUACUCUUUGUACUUGUACUAUUCAUCUUCCUUGACCUCCUUUUCUCCUUUGAACCCCACUUUCCUAAGAUCUGUGCUAUCAACACAGACCUUCAGAAGUAGAGAGGAUGGAAAUAGAACACGUACUUUGAUAAACAGAAGCAAUUAGACUUCCUUGGACGAUGCCACAUUCCUUUAAUGCACAUUCGGCUUAAUGCACAAUGGGAAAAUCAGAGCCUAUUGAGCAAUGGUGUUGCCUCUGGUUUAUUGCAGUUCAUUAAUAAACAUUGCAGCUGGA
rnacentral:lncRNA from 1 species